GAUGAACGCUGGCGGUGUGCCUAAUACAUGCAAGUCGAACGAGAAGGUUCAUUCUUCGGAAAGAGCUGGAAAGUGGCGAACGGGUGAGUAACGCGUUGGUGACCUGCCCCAAAGUGAGGGACAACAGAACGAAAGAUCUGCUAAUACCUCAUGUGAUCUUAGUUGUUAGAGAGCUAAGAUGAAAGGAUUUAUUCGCUUUGGGAGGGGCCUGCGUCCCAUCAGCUAGUUGGUAAGGUAAUGGCUUACCAAGGCGAUGACGGGUAGGGGACCUGAGAGGGUGGUCCCCCACAAUGGAACUGAAACACGGUCCAUACACCUACGGGUGGCAGCAGUAGGGAAUAUUGCACAAUGGGCGAAAGCCUGAUGCAGCAACACCGCGUGUGUGAAGAAGGCCUUCGGGUCGUAAAGCACUUUUACGAGGGAAGAGGAAGGACUGUACCUCGUGAAUAAGGGUCGGCUAACUACGUG
rnacentral:rRNA from 1 species